GUGGGGAAUAUUGGACAAUGGGCGAAAGCCUGAUCCAGCCAUGCCGCGUGUGUGAAGAAGGUCUUCGGAUUGUAAAGCACUUUAAGUUGGGAGGAAGGGCAGUAAGUUAAUACCUUGCUGUUUUGACGUUACCGACAGAAUAAGCACCGGCUAACUUCGUGCCAGCAGCCGCGGUAAUACGAAGGGUGCAAGCGUUAAUCGGAAUUACUGGGCGUAAAGCGCGCGUAGGUGGUUUUGUAAGUUGGAGGUGAAAUCCACGGGCUCAACCUGGGAACUGCCUCCAAAACUGCAUGACUAGAGUACGGUAGAGGGUAGUGGAAUUUCCUGUGUAGCGGUGAAAUGCGUAGAUAUAGGAAGGAACACCAGUGGCGAAGGCGACUACCUGGACUGAUACUGACACUGAGGUGCGAAAGCGUGGGGAGCAAACAGGAUUAGAAACCCGAGUAGUCC
rnacentral:rRNA from 1 species